UACGAAGGGGGCUAGCGUUGUUCGGAAUUACUGGGCGUAAAGCGUAUGCAGGCGGAUCGUUAAGUCGGGGGUGAAAUCCCGAGGCUCAACCUCGGAACUGCCUUCGAUACUGGCGAUCUUGAGUCCGGGAGAGGUGAGUGGAACUCCGAGUGUAGAGGUGAAAUGCGUAGAUAUCUGGAGGAAUACCGGUGGCGAAGGCGGCAUCCUGGACCGACAUUGACGCUGAGGAGCGAAAGCUAGGGGAGCAAACGGG
rnacentral:rRNA from 1 species